GUACUACUCCCUCCGUUCCGAAUUACUUGUCGCAGGUAUGGAUGUAUCUAGAUGUAUUUUAAUUCUAGAUAUAUCCAUUUAUAUGACGAGUAAUUUGGAAUGGAGAGAGUAGUAU
rfam:Triticum aestivum genome assembly, contig: Triticum_aestivum_CS42_TGACv1_scaffold_094691_2AL